UCCUACGGGAGGCAGCAGUGGGGAAUAUUGCACAAUGGGCGCAAGCCUGAUGCAGCCAUGCCGCGUGUAUGAAGAAGGCCUUCGGGUUGUAAAGUACUUUCAGCGGGGAGGAAGGUGUUGUGGUUAAUAACCGCAGCAAUUGACGUUACCCGCAGAAGAAGCACCGGCUAACUCCGUGCCAGCAGCCGCGGUAAU
rnacentral:rRNA from 1 species